rnacentral:rRNA from 1 species
GAUGUAAUUAAUAGUAAAAUUAAUACAUCAAAGAAAAAUAAAGGAGUUUGGUGAUGGCUCUGAUUGAACGCUGUCCAAGUACUUGACACAUGCUAAUCGAACGCUUAAUUUGUGCUUUUCAAGAAGCAAAAGUCAGUGAAACUCUGGCUAUUGAUUUUAAAAUCAAUGUUCUAGACUACAUUAGUAUGUAGAUACUAAGACCAAAAUUAAGAGUGGUGUACAGGUGAGUAUUAGAUUUUUGACCUACCUUAAAGUAAAGAAAAUAAUUUAUAUAAGAAAGGGGAUGACCCGCUUUAAGAGGAAAAGAAAAAUCAUAGAGAUAGGUAGUUGUUAAGGUAAUGGCUUAACAAGCCCUCAAUUCUCUUAGUCGAAGCUGAAAGGGUUGAUCGACCACAUUGGGGAUGAAAAAAUCCCAAUGCAAAUGAGUACAGCAGUGAGGAAUAUUGGUCAAUGGCCUAACGGCUGAACUGGUAACUUGGAAGAAUGGAACCUGUUGUGGAGGUUUAUAUUAUAAGGCAAAGGGUAAUUUUACCCUCCUUUUCCACAUGGGUUAUUUAUCGAUUUAUCGAAUGAAGUUCUGUAUGCAUAUUGAUAAUGACAAUAUGUACAAAUGUCUUGACCAAUUACGUGCCAGCAGUCGCGGCAAUACGUAAAAGACUAGUGUUAAUCAUCUUAAAUGGGUUUAAAGGGUACUCAGACGGUAAAAUUCGCCUUAAUAAAGGGACAAUUUUUCUAGAGUUUUAUAUAAGGAGAUCGUACUUUAGGUGUAUAGAGAUAAAAUUUGUUGAUACCUAGGGGACUGGUAAAGGCGAAGGCAAUCUUUUAUGUAAAAACUGACGUCGAAGGACGAAGGCUUAGGUCACAAACAGGAUUAGAUACCCCAGUAGUCUUUGCAGUCAAUUAUGAAUGCCAUAGGUUAGAUAUAAAUUAGAAUAUAAGUUCUAAUAAAGAAUAUAUAUAGCUAAUAUAUAUAUAGGAUAUAAUCUAGUCUAUAAAUGAAAGUGUAAGCAUUUCACCUCAAGAGUAAUGUGGCAACGCAGGAACUGAAAUCACUAGACCGUUUCUGACACCAGCAGUGAAGUAUGUUAUUUAAUUCGAUGAUCCACGAAAAACCUUACCACAACUUGAAUAUUCAUAUGUAUAUAUGCACGUAUAUACUUUGAAUACAAGUGUUGCACGGCUGUCUUCAGUUAAUGUUGUGAAACUGUGGCUCAGGCCACGAAAUUAACGAAAACCCUUACUUUAUUUAUAAAUAUAAAAUAAAGUUUUCACCUUUAUAUGGGUUGGAUAAAAGGGAUCAAGACAAGUCAUCAUGGCCUAGAUGUUGUGGGCUAUAGACGUGCCACAUAUUCCUAAACAAAGAGAUGCAAAAAUGUGAAUUUUAGCUAAUCUCACAAAAUAGGAUAAAAUUAGAUAUGGAUUGUAGCCUGAAAUUCGGCUGCAUGAAUAAGAAAUUGCUAGUAAUCGUGAAUCACCAUGACACGGUGAAUAUUUCCUCGGAUUGGUACUAACCACUCGUCACAUGCUGAAAAUAGUGUGCCCAGCAAGUUUGCUCUUCCCGAGAUAAAUAAAUAAAUGUAUAUGUUUUAUAAUUUACGAGGGGAUUCUUCCUAUGGGUGUCUAUGAUUAGUGUAAAGUCGAAAUACGGUUCGUGUAGUGGAAGUUGCACGGGAUUUAUCAACGAUAAACAAUCAAAAUUAAUAAAAUAAAAUAAUAUUUAUAUAUUAUUUUAUUUUAUGUAUAUAUAAAUAUAAUAUUUAUAUUUAUAUAUAUAAAGGAGAGUU